AUUUAUGAUCAUAUCAUGAUUAGUAGAUUACAAACCGUGUAUUGUGUAAGUGCGUGAGCUGUUGUAAAGUUGACAAAUUUUGUUAGAAUUAGUAAUGGUUGUAAACACAACAAUACAUAAGUAUUGUUUGUUCUCUAUAAAAAUAAUAAAAUAAAAUAAUAAUAAAUAUCAAAGUAGGACAUGUUUUUUUAAUACAGUGUACUAUCGGCAACUCGAAGUUCGCGGGGAAAAAAAACUUCGACUUAUUAAAAAUUUCGAGUUAUCAAAAAAUAAUAAAAUAUACAUACCAGUACCUACAUAUUAUUUUUAAAGAAUUGGUCCAAAGGUAGCACAUUAUACUUGGCGCAUCCUGAUAAAUACCAGAAACACAUACAAAGAGACCCAGCCACUACUGCAGUCACAACUACUUACAGCUUUAAAGGAGUAUAUACUGUCAAAUAGAGGAAUAACAGCCAAGAAAAUCAAGGACAACAACAAAAUUCAGCAAAACAGAAAUUGAAGAAGUAGAACAAUGUGUGACAAUCAACAAAACAACAAGCCAUAAAACAAGGAAACCAAAUAUAGACAGAAUGGAAAAGAGAUUGAGGCGAUAAGCAAAAUAAUAUUUUGUUUUAAAGCUACAUAAAUCAUAAAAUUACCAAGCUCUAACAAACUAAUAAUAUAAUUAAUACAUAAAAUGUACCAGUAAGAUUUAAAAAAAAUCAAAAUGAUAUUUCCUAGUAUAAUAAGGUGUAGAAUCCAACAAAUUGAAUUUUUAUAUAGCUAAUAAAUAACUCAGUUUUCAUUUUAAACAUCUGAAACUAAAA